AACGCACCUUGCGCUCCUCGGUGUUCCGAGGAGCAUGCCUGUUUGAGUGUCAGUAAAUUCUCAACCCCUCUCGAUUUGUUUCGAGGGGGAGCUUGGAUGGUGGGGGCUGCCGGAGACUAGGACUCGUCCUGGACUCGGGCUCUCCUUAAAUGCAUCGGCUUGCGGUCGACUUUCGACUUUGCGCGACAAGGCUUUCGGCGUGAUAAUGAUCGCCGUUCGCUGAAGCGCAUGAAUGAAGGUCCCGCGCCUCUAAUACGUCGACUGUUACUAUCUCUUCGGAGAGAAAACGUCUUCCUCAAUUGACUUUUGACCUCAAAUCAGGUAGGACUACCCGCUGAACUUAA
rnacentral:misc_RNA from 4 species